rnacentral:rRNA from 1 species
ACGGGUGAGUAAUAUAUCGGAACGUGCCCAGUAGUGGGGGAUAGCCCGGCGAAAGCCGGAUUAAUACCGCAUACGACCUAUGGGUGAAAGCGGGGGAUCGCAAGACCUCGCGCUAUUGGAGCGGCCGAUAUCAGAUUAGGUAGUUGGUGGGGUAAAGGCCUACCAAGCCGACGAUCUGUAGCUGGUCUGAGAGGACGACCAGCCACACUGGGACUGAGACACGGCCCAGACUCCUACGGGAGGCAGCAGUGGGGAAUUUUGGACAAUGGGGGCAACCCUGAUCCAGCCAUGCCGCGUGCGGGAAGAAGGCCUUCGGGUUGUAAACCGCUUUUGUCAGGGAAGAAACGGCUUUCUCUAAUACAGAGGGCUAAUGACGGUACCUGAAGAAUAAGCACCGGCUAACUACGUGCCAGCAGCCGCGGUAAUACGUAGGGUGCAAGCGUUAAUCGGAAUUACUGGGCGUAAAGCGUGCGCAGGCGGUCUUGCAAGACAGAUGUGAAAUCCCCGGGCUUAACCUGGGAACUGCAUUUGUGACUGCAAGGCUGGAGUACGGCAGAGGGGGAUGGAAUUCCGCGUGUAGCAGUG